rnacentral:rRNA from 1 species
GAUGAACGCUGGCGGCGUGCCUAAUACAUGCAAGUCGAGCGAACGGACGAGAAGCUUGCUUCUCUGAUGUUAGCGGCGGACGGGUGAGUAACACGUGGAUAACCUACCUAUAAGACUGGGAUAACUUCGGGAAACCGGAGCUAACACCGGAUAAUAUUUUGAACCGCAUGGUUCAAAAGUGAAAGACGGUCUUGCUGUCACUUAUAGAUGGAUCCGCGCUGCAUUAGCUAGUUGGUAAGGUAACGGCUUACCAAGGCAACGAUGCAUAGCCGACCUGAGAGGGUGAUCGGCCACACUGGAACUGAGACACGGUCCAGACUCCUACGGGAGGCAGCAGUGGGGAAUCUUCCGCAAUGGGCGAAAGCCUGACGGAGCAACGCCGCGUGAGUGAUGAAGGUCUUCGGAUCGUAAAACUCUGUUAUUAGGGAAGAACAGAUGUGUAAGUAACUGUGCACAUCUUGACGGUACCUAAUCAGAAAGCCACGGCUAACUACGUG